rnacentral:lncRNA from 1 species
CAGAAUCGCUUCCUUCCUGUUCAUCAGAGCGAACGAGAGCAAAGGACUCCGCCGUCGUCGAGAAAGGCUCGAUCUCAUCAACCUCGAUUCAUUCCCGGUGGAAGAAGCCCUCUUCUCCCCUCGGGAUGUUCGCAUCUCAGCUCGCGCAAGGUAAUCGCUUUGUCCAUCUCUCAGCAGCUUGUCGUUUCAGUUGAUUCUCUGCGGCUCUGUUGUCGGAAUAACCGGCUGAAUUGGCGUGUGUUUUGGACUCUUCUUGUCGACUGGGGAUGCGG